CAUAUCAAUAAGCGGGGGAA
rnacentral:rRNA from 1 species